rnacentral:rRNA from 1 species
UACGAAGGGGCUAGCGUUGCUCGGAAUCACUGGGCGUAAAGCGCACGUAGGCGGAUUGCUAAGUCAGGGGUGAAAUCCUGGAGCUCAACUCCAGAACUGCCUUUGAUACUGGCAAUCUCGAGUCCGGGAGAGGUGAGUGGAACUGCGAGUGUAGAGGUGAAAUUCGUAGAUAUUCGCAAGAACACCAGUGGCGGAAGGCGGCUCACUGGCCCGGUACUGGACGCUGAGGUGGCGAA